rnacentral:rRNA from 1 species
AACUAACGCUGGCGGCGUGGAUUAGGCAUGCAAGUCGAACGGUAUCAUCCUUUCGGGGGUGAGAGAGUGGCGAACUGGUGAGUAACACGUAGGUUAUCUACCCUCAAGACGGGGACAACCCAGGGAAACUUGGGCUAAUACCGGAUGUGAGCAACUUUUAGUUGUUUGAAAGGUGGCGUAAGCUGUCGCUUGGGGAUGAGCCUGCGUCCUAUUAGUUAGUUGGUGAGGUAACGGCUCACCUAGGCAAUGAUAGGUAGGCGGCCUUAACGGGUGGUCGCCCACACUGGGAUUGAGAUACGGCCCAGACUCCUACGGGAGGCAGCAGUCGAGAAUAGUCUACAAUGGUCGGAAGACUGAUAGUGCGACGCCGCGUGAACGAUGAAUCCCUUCGGGGUGUAAAGUUCUUUUAUAUGUGAGCAGUGCUUCUUAUAUUAACAGUAUGGGGAGAGAGAUAUUAGCAUAUGAAUAAGCAACGGCUAACUCCGUGCCAGCAGCCGCGGUAAA